rnacentral:misc_RNA from 1 species
AACGCAUAUUGCGCUCUUUGGUAUUCCGAAGAGCAUGCCUGUUUGAGUAUCUACAAACUCUCAAUCCCCUCGGGUGAUUGGAAAUGAGUCUUGUCUGUCAGACUGACUUGAAAUGUAGUGUUGAGAGGGUAUCUGCCUUAUCUCUGAAGGAAAUGUAAUUGAAUGAGUGAUACUCAGCCUUUUCUUAGUACUUGAGAGUGGGUGCAGCUCCAUGCCUUACGGCGCUUUCAGCAGUAACCAAGAGCAUCGCUCUGAACCUUGGUCUCAAAUCAGGUAGGAAGACCCGCUGAACUUAA